CAGUAGCCACGGUAAUACGUAGGGUGCAAGCGUUAAUUGGAAUUACUGGGCGUAAAGCGUGCGCAGGCGGUUAUAUAAGACAGAUGUGAAAUCCCCGGGCUCAACCUGGGAACUGCAUUUGUGACUGUAUAGCUAGAGUACGGCAGAGGGGGAUGGAAUUCCGCGUGUAGCAGUGAAAUGCGUAGAUAUGCGGAGGAACACCGAUGGCGAAGGCAAUCCCCUGGGCCUGUACUGACGCUCAUGCACGAAAGCGUGGGGAGCAAACAGGAUUAGAGACCCCAGUAGUCCCUGUCUCUUAUAU
rnacentral:rRNA from 1 species